rnacentral:rRNA from 15 species
UCUCGCAUCGAUGAGAACGUAGCAAAAUAGUGAUACCUGGUGUGAAUUGUAGAAUCCUGUGAACCAUUGAGUCUUUAAAUGCAAGUUAUGCCCGAGGCCAUCCGGCUAAGGGCAUGCCUGCUUGGGCGUCA